rnacentral:lncRNA from 1 species
GUUUCCUUUUCCUAACUUUGUUAUAAUAACACUGGUCUCAUAAAAGGCCUUCCAUUACUUACCUAUAUGUAGUCACAUAUCUUAUAAGGCUUUGGCACAGUUAUUAACACAAACCUGAUGGGAAGUAAAUGUUGUUAAGUAAGUCACUCAGUGGAGAGUGUUUGUGACAAGGGGGUGUCUUUUCCUGGACUAUUUCCUGUCCCUUUUCCUUACCUGAAAACUAAGAGAAGCAAAUUCAGUUAUUCAGAAAAUCCCUUUCCAGAUAUAAAUGUUUAUGAAGCUAAAUUUACAGAAUUUCAGAAGUGUCAGCCAAGUGUGACAGGUAUCAUGCUCAAUAAAAUCUUUAUGUCCUGAUAAAAUUAAUCUGGUUUCUUUACGUAGCAUUUUGAGACUGUGAUUUAAUUAACCUUCACAUUCCCUAUCACUUGAUGGAGCUCUUUCUGUAGGACUAACGUCAUAGAACAGCAGAUUUCAACCUCACGGCGCCUCAGCCUCUUGUUAAAAAAAAUAUUGAUACCUAUGUCUUAUGUCUCUAUCCCAACCUCGA